GGAUGAUAACAAACAUAGUCAGCGAAAAAUAGACUCGGGGGCAGACCCUUCAGAAUCUGCCUUGUACAAGAUAUCAUGAGAUUACAUAAUCAACUAAACAAACUCAUAACACAUUUUCCAUAUUCCUCAGAUAGAUAGGUACAAGUGCUAUUCAUAGCAUCGUCUCAACAAACACAUUACAAACCCAGGAAAGGACACUGCUUCCUUGCAUGCGCCGGAACCAACUUCGUUACCAUCUCCAUUGGUACACCCUUUAACUCAUGUUGCUUGAAGUUAAAGAGUGGCGGCAGAGUGCGCCCAUUUGGUAGACGGGUGUUCUGGUCUCGAAGCUCGUUAAAGAAUGGAUGAGCCAAUGCCUCCAAUGCAGUGCUUCGGAGAUUCGGAGAGUACUGGAGAAGCCUAGAAACAAGAUCCACAGCUUCAGGUGGCAUUCGUUUGUCGAAGAUCUUGUGCCAUGGGUGGGCUUUGAUUUGCGGGAACUUGAACUCGGUAUAAUUCGGAUUCAUGCAUUUUAUUUCCUCUCUAGUUGGUGUGCCUAAAAUCUUAAUGAUUUCAACAAGCUGGUCAACUCCACUCUCGCCGGGAAAAAGAGGCUGUCCUAGCAGCAGUUCAGCAACAACACAUCCGGUAGACCAAAUAUCAAUUGCUGUUGUGUACUCAGUGGCACCAAAAAUAAGCUCCGGGGCUCUAUAGUACCUAGAACAGAUGUACGAUAUGUUGGGUUCCCCUUUCACCAGAACUUUAGCACUUCCAAAAUCACACAGUUUCAGCUGGUGUGUAUGCGGGUUGACCAGAAGAUUCUGUGGCUUAAUGUCUCUGUGGCAUACUCCAAUGCUACCAUGAAUAUAACACAAUGACCUAAAAAUCUGGUAGGCAUAUAGUUUCACAUAUAACAGUGGUAUCCGCUGACUCAUCUUGUUGUAGUGCUUGAUUACACGGUGAACAGUCUCGGGCACGUAGUCAAGCACCAAGUUAAGGUAGACUUCUUCCUUUUCAGUUGUUGAAUAGAAACAAUGCUUCAAAGACACAACAUUUGGAUGGUCCAUGAGGCGCAUAGUUUGAAGUUCACGGUUUUUGUAUCGUUUGUCCUGAAGAACCUUCUUUAUGGCUACUGUUUCUCCUGUCUCGAGACAUUUUGCCUGAAAGACAAUCCCA
rnacentral:misc_RNA from 1 species